AGAUUAAGGAAGCUAUUUUCAAAACCCUGAUUAGGAAUGGAAUGUUUGACAAUUCCCACAUUCGACUUUCUCUAACACGAGGAAAAAAGGCUCAACAAUGAAAAUUUGGUUGCAAUGGGUAUCCUCAACAACUAUGAUUAUUAAGUUGCUUCUUGGGCAGACAGAAACCAAUGGAUUGGUAGUUAACAAAUCUGGCGAAACUGCACUAGAAACAACUGAGAAAACCAGGAACUCCGAAAUUAAAGACCAGGAAUAGCUACAGCCUGAGAGUUGAAGGACUCAACAAUGAAAUAAACUCCACGAUUGUGGUUGCAGUCCUCAUUGCCACAGUUGCCUUUGCAGCCAUCUUCAUAGUCCCUGGCCAAUUUGCUGAUGAUCCAAAAGUCCUCCCUGCAGGAAUGACCAUUGGUGAAGCAAACAUAGCACCGCAAGCUGCAUUUCUCAUUUUCUUCGUCUUUGAUUCCAUCGCGCUCUUCAUUUCUCUGGCCUUCGUGGUGGUGCAAACCUCGGUCGUGAUCAUAGAAAGCAAAGCAAAGAAGCAUAUGAUGGCCAUCAUUAACAAUACCCAUCGACCAUCCUGGGGUGGCUUUGAUUUGACCAACGAGACUAUCCUGAGCUUCCAUCUUCUCAACCUUGUUCUUAGUGCCUGAAUAUCCAGAACAGGGAAUCCUGAGCUUUGUUCUUUCUCUCUCUUUGUGUUUGUGUUUUGUGUUUAUAGAGCUGACAAAGACUUGCCACAUAGACAUAUGACUAACAGUGGAAAUUUGAUUUUAGCGGUAGAGACUUAUUUGCAUAACGGAUGUAAAGAUCGAGACUAUUUUUUACAUUUAAAAAAGAUAGAGACUAAUUUGCAAAAUGGAUACAAAGACAAAGACCAAAAUACCUAUUCACUCAAAAAGAAAGGAAAGGCAGUCCAGCAUGGGCAUUACUCAUUUUAGCAAUAGAUAUGGAUAACACGGCAGCUACCCACUCACUACCACCAGCGACGCCUCCGACACUCUUCUCUUUUGUCAAUUCGGAUAUGUCUUCUGAUAGUGCAAAGGAAAAUGCAUCAGUAGUUGAUUCAUCAGUCAUUGAAUGGAGGAAUGACAUUGGAAAUUCAGAUGAUCCAGGUUUUGAUAAUGUUUCGCUUGUCACAUGUGUAUCAUGUGAAUUAAGGAGCUUACAUUGUGGGGGAAGAAAUGGAAUUAGAAAAGUUAUAAAUGCAGAAUUAGAAAACAUUCCAAAUAAAGUGAUGGACAAAAAAAAAAGUAAAGUCACAAUUUUCUAAUCAAAACACAUUUGUUGGGCAUGUAUGGAGGGGUAAUGCAUAUCCUUCCAGCCCACUCCUUCCUUUUUGCUAUUUAGUUGUACUUCCAAUGGUGAACCACCUUCUUAAUCCAUCAAAUCGCAGAAAUUCAAAAUGGAAAAACAUACCCUUAAUUAGCAAAAUUUUCUUGUAGUGUGUCUAGAUGAUCACAACUUCAUCAAUGAUAGUGGAGCAAGGAAUAGGGUGUUGAUCACAUACUCAAAAACAUUUCAUAGAUGAAUGUACAUCUCUAUUAACAUAAAUACAUGCAUGUGAGCUUUUUUCUUUUGCAUUAAGAUUUAAAUUUUUUUUCCUAUUUUGAUUUUUGACUUUGUUUUAAACCUUUUGUUAGAGAGCUCAUGUUACAAGUUUAAUGAAAACAUUAAUCCAACUAGGGUAGAUAAAGGGGGACAUUCUCAUGGUCAGAUAGGGCAUCCAGCAGGAAUUGGAAUGGGAAAAUGUCACAAUACAAAAUACUUUUUCAUCAAGAGUUUGAACCAUCAAAACAUUCAUUUGUCGAUUGAGAAAGGAAUUUGGGCUACUCAAAUCAUGAAUGAACCGAUUCUACAAGAAGCUUAUCAUAAUUCAGACAGUGCAAUCCUUAUAUUCAGUGUCAACAUGAGUGGUUCCUUCCAAGGGUAUGCACAAAUGAUGACCUCCAUUGGAAGGGGGAGAGACAAUGCUUGGAGUGAGGGAACUAGUAAAAGUAAUCCUUGGGGUCGCAGUUUUAAGGUCAAAUGGAUGUGUUUGAAUGAUUUGCCUUUCCACAAGACUCUACAUCUCAAGAAUCCAAUGAAUGAUUAUAAGCCUGUCAAAAUUAGUAGAGAUUUCCAGGUUUUCUCUUAUUUUUCCUCUUGUGAACUUCUUGACGGUAACAAUGACACAAAUGGCCUACUAACCAAGUAAAUUUUGCAGAGGUAAAAUAUUGUGUUUUCAUCUGCAUUUAGAGGAGGCUUGCUGUGUAUUGGUUUUUUCUUUUGCAGUUUAUCAAGGGAUGAAUUUUCUUUGAAAGGGCAUUAUGUGA